rnacentral:rRNA from 1 species
AGCGAACGCUGGCGGCAGGCUUAACACAUGCCAGUCGAGCGGGCAUCCUUGGGGUGUCUGCGGCAGACGGGUGAGUAACGCGUGGGUACGUGCCCUUCGGUUCGGACUAACUUAUGGAAACUUGAGCUAAUACCGGAUACGUUCCAGAGCAGAAAGGGUUAUUGGGCGAAGGAUCGGCGCGUGUCUGAUUAGUUGGGGGGUGAGGUUACGGCUCACCACGGCGACGUUGGGUAGCUGGUCGGAGAGGAUGCUCAGCCACACUGGGACUGAGACACGGCCCAGAACCCGACGGGAGGGAGGAGUAGGGAAUAUUGGACAAGGGGGGCAAACGUGGCCAAGCCACGCGGGGUGAGAGAUGACGGCCUUAGGAUUGUAAAGCUCUUUGUGACGGGACGUGAAUGACGGUACCGGAUGAAUAAGCCCCGGCUAACUUCGUG